rnacentral:rRNA from 1 species
CUGGCUCAGAUUGAACGCUGCGGCGUGCUUAACACAUGCAAGUCGAACGCGAAAGGGACUUCGGUCCUGAGUAAAGUGGCGCACGGGUGAGUAACGCGUGGAUAAUCUGCCCUUAUGAUCGGGAUAACAGUUGGAAACGGCUGCUAAUACCGGAUACGCUCAAAAUGAACUUUUUGAGGAAAGAUGGCCUCUGCUUGCAUGCUAUCACGUAAGGAUGAGUCCGCGUCCCAUUAGCUUGUUGGCGGGGUAACGGCCCACCAAGGCAACGAUGGGUAGCCGAUUUGAGAGGAUGAUCGGCCACACUGGAACUGAAACACGGUCCAGACUCCUACGGGAGGCAGCAGUGGGGAAUAUUGCGCAAUGGGCGAAAGCCUGACGCAGCGACGCCGCGUGAGGGAAUGAAGGUUUUCGGAUCGUAAACCUCUGUCAGAAGGGAAGAAACUACGUUGUGCUAAUCAGCAGCGUACCGACGGUACCUUCAAAGGAAGCACCGGCUAACUCCGUGCCAGCCGCUGC